rnacentral:rRNA from 1 species
GACGAACGCUGGCGGCGUGCCUAAUACAUGCAAGUCGAGCGGACUGAUUAAGAGCUUGCUCUUAUGACGUUAGCGGCGGACGGGUGAGUAACACGUGGGCAACCUGCCCUGUAGAUCGGGAUAACACCGAGAAAUCGGUGCUAAUACCGGGUAAUAUCUGAGAUCACAUGAUCUUAGGUUAAAAGAUGGCUCCGGCUAUCACUACAGGCUGGGCCCGCGGCGCAUUAGCUAGUUGGUAAGGUAAUGGCUUACCAAGGCGACGAUGCGUAGCCGACCUGAGAGGGUGAUCGGCCACACUGGGACUGAGACACGGCCCAGACUCCUACGGGAGGCAGCAGUAGGGAAUCUUCCGCAAUGGACGAAAGUCUGACGGAGCAACGCCGCGUGAGUGAUGAAGGGGUUCGGCUCGUAAAGCUCUGUUGUUAGGGAAGAAACAGUACCGAACGAACUAGGUCGGUACCUUGACGGUACCUAAACAGAAAGCCACGGCUAACUACGUG